AGCCCGCACAAGCAGUGGAGUAUGUGGUUUAAUUCGACGCAACGCGAAGAACCUUACCAAGGCUUGACAUACACCGGUAACGCCCAGAGAUGGGUGCCCCUUUGUGGUCGGUGGACAGGUGGUGCAUGGUUGUCGUCAGCUCGUGUCGUGAGAUGUUGGGUUAAGUCCCGCAACGAGCGCAACCCUCGUCCUAUGUUGCCAGCGGGUCAUGCCGGGGACUCAUGGGAGACUGCCGGGGUCAACUCGGAGGAAGGUGGGAUGACGUCAAAUCAUCAUGCCCCUUAUGUCUUGGGCUUCACGCAUGCUACAAUGGCCGGUACAAAGGGCUGCGAUACCGCGAGGUGGAGCGAAUCCCAGAAAGCCGGUCUCAGUUCGGAUUGGGGUCUGCAACUCGACCCCAUGAAGUCGGAGUCGCUAGUAAUCGCAGAUCAGCAACGCUGCGGUGAAUACGUUCCCGGGCCUU
rnacentral:rRNA from 1 species